GUCUAUGGCUAUGCCACGCUGAACGUGCCCGAUCUCAUCUGAUCUUGGAAACUAAGUAGGGUCGGGCCUAGUUAGUACUUGGAUGGGAGACCACCUAGGAAGACCAGGUGCCGUAGGAG
rnacentral:rRNA from 1 species